CAGAAAGGCAGUUUCUUUUUGUAUUCCUAUGGGAGCCUCAAUGUCAGUCUCAUAGGAAUGAAUAGGGAAAUAACUGAUUUCCUGUCUCAGUUGGAGAGGCAGAGUGUUGAUCACAUGACACAGCUGAGGAUCACAAGGGAGGUUAUAACUCACAAAUACAGUCACUGGUAAGAAGAUUACCUUCACUACAGUUUACAUCAUGUACAUUUCUAAUAGAUCA